CCUACGGGAAGCUGCAGUGGGGGAUAUUGCACAAUGGGGGAAACCCUGAUGCAGCGACGCCGCGUGUGGGAAGACGGUCUUCUGGAUUGUAAACCACUGUCCCCAGGGACGAAAAUGACGGUACCUGGGGAGGAAGCUCCGGCUAACUACGUGCCAGCAGCCGCGGUAAUACGUAGGGAGCAAGCGUUGUCCGGAAUUACUGGGUGUAAAGGGAGCGUAGGCGGGGAUGCAAGUUGGGUGUAAAAACUACCGGCUCAACCGAUAGUCGCACUCAAAACUGCAACUCUUGAGUGAAGUAGAGGCAGGCGGAAUUCCUAGUGUAGCGGUGAAAUGCGUAGAUAUUAGGAGGAACACCAGUGGCGAAGGCGGCCUGCUGGGCUUUUACUGACGCUGAGGCUCGAAAGUGUGGGGAGCAAACAGGAUUAGAUACCCUUGUAGUC
rnacentral:rRNA from 1 species